AAGACCGAUGCAGCAAAUAAUUUCUGGGUCUUGUCAUUUUCAUUAAAUUGCAAGCAUCACUUCUUGUUUGUGUUUUCCAGGUGGUUCACAGAUGAAAGUAAAAGAACAGAAGACCUCCAAAGGCCAGCAGAUGAGCAGUAAAGCUACAGGAGCGGGAGAUGGGACUUGCUGAGGGCCGGCUGCCUCUUUGACCUCUGUCUCAGCCUGUGUCUGUUUCCAUUUAUCUUUCAGGUGCCGCACCCAACUUGGGAGAGGUGAAGCUGCACACCGAGGAGGGCUGUGAGAAGGUCAUGUCUUCCCAUAUUUGCAGUCAGAUGAGCACUUGAGGUCCUGGAGGGGAGGAGAGGCCCGGCAUAGGACUCUGGAACCGAUUCGGAGCAG